rnacentral:rRNA from 1 species
GAUGAACGCUGGCGGCGUGCCUAAUACAUGCAAGUCGAGCGAACGGACGAGAAGCUUGCUUCUCUGAUGUUAGCGGCGGACGGGUGAGUAACACGUGGAUAACCUACCUAUAAGACUGGGAUAACUUCGGGAAACCGGAGCUAAUACCGGAUGAUAUUUUGAACCGCAUGGUUCAAAAGUGAAAGACGGUCUUGCUGUCACUUAUAGAUGGAUCCGCGCUGCAUUAGCUAGUUGGUAAGGUAACGGCUUACCAAGGCAACGAUGCAUAGCCGACCUGAGAGGGUGAUCGGCCACACUGGAACUGAGACACGGUCCAGACUCCUGCGGGAGGCAGCAGUAGGGAAUCUUCCGCAAUGGGCGAAAGCCUGACGGAGCAACGCCGCGUGAGUGGUGAAGGUCUUCGGAUCGUAAAACUCUGUUAUUAGGGAAGAACAUAUGUGUAAGUAACUGUGCACAUCUUGACGGUACCUAAUCAGAAAGCCACGGCUAACUACGUG